rnacentral:rRNA from 1 species
UGAUGACGAGACGCUAAGGCGUUGAAGCAGUGUAUGUCAGACUUCCAAGAAAAGCUCGCAAUGUCACAAAUAAAAAUGCCUGUACCAUAACCGACACAGGUGGGUAGGUAGAGUAUACUAAGGGGCGCGAGAUAACUCUCUCUAAGGAACUCGGCAAAAUGACUCCGUAACUUCGGGAGAAGGAGUGCCUUAUUUAUAAGGUUGCAAUAACAAGAUCCAAGCAACUGUUUAUCAAAAACACAGGUCUCCGCUAAGUCGUAAGACGAUGUAUGGGGGCUGACGCCUGCCCAGUGCCAGAAGGUUAAAGAAGUUGGUUAGUGUAUGCGAAGCUGAUGACUGAAGCCCUGGUGAACGGCGGCCGUAACUAUAACGGUCCUAAGGUAGCGAAAUUCCUUGUCGGGUAAGUUCCGACCCGCACGAAAGGCGUAAUGAUUUGGAUACUGUCUCGGAGAGAGGCUCGGUGAAAUAGACUUGUCUGUGAAGAUGCGGACUACCUGCACCAGGACAGAAAGACCCUAUGAAGCUUUACUGUAACUUGAAAUUGGAAUUGGACUUUGCUUGCGCAGUAUAGGUGGGAAGCGUUGAAAAUAUUCUUGCGGGAGUAUUGGAGCUAUCAGUGAGAUACCACUCUUGUAAUGUUAGAUUUCUAACUUUGAACCAUAAUCUGGUCAAAGAACAGUUUCAGGUGGGCAGUUUGACUGGGGCGGUCGCCUCCCAAAUGGUAACGGAGGCGUACAAAGGUUUCCUCUGAACGGAUAGAAAUCGUAUCUAGAGUGUAAAGGCAUAAGGAAGCUUGACUGUGAGACCUACAAGUCGAGCAGGGACGAAAGUCGGUCUUAGUGAUCUGACGGUACUGAGUGGAAAGGCCGUCACUCAACGGAUAAAAGUUACUCUAGGAUAACAGGCUGAUCUCCCCCAAGAGUUCACAUCGACGGGGAGGUUUGGCACCUCGAUGUCGGCUCAUCGCAUCCUGGGGCGGUAGUACGUCCCAAGGGUUGGGCUGUUCGCCCAUGAAAGCGGUACGCGAGCUGGGUUCAGAACGUCGUGAGACAGUUCGGUCCAUAUCCGGUGUAGGCGCUAGAAUAUUGAGAGGAGCCUUCUUUAGUACGAGAGGACCGAGAAGGACACACCGCUGGUGUACCAGUUAUCGUGCCAACGGUAAACGCUGGGUAGCUAUGUGUGGAGUGGAUAACCGCUGAAAGCAUCUAAGUGGGAAGCCCACCUCGAGAUGAGUAUUC